rnacentral:rRNA from 1 species
ACUCCUACGGGAGGCAGCAGUGGGGAAUAUUGCACAAUGGGCGCAAGCCUGAUGCAGCGACGCCGCGUGAGGGAUGACGGCCUUCGGGUUGUAAACCUCUUUCAGCAGGGAAGAAGCGGAAGUGACGGUACCUGCAGAAGAAGCACCGGCUAACUACGUGCCAGCAGCCGCGGUAAU